CCUUGUCCGCGUAUACUACAUGCACGCAGCGCUACCACCGGUACGCGCGUGGUCCGUGCACUCACGCACGGGUACGACUGGUCAUCCACACACCGGACGACCCACCGAUAAAACAGUGUUUCUUCUUUGAACUCGCUCGCUCUCUCUCUCGUAGAGAGAACGAACACAAACAAACUCAAACCCUAGGCAGGGGAUCACUCGGCUCGUGGAUCGAUGAAGACCGCAGCUAAAUGCGCGUCAGAAUGUGAACUGCAGGACACAUGAACACCGACAAGUUGAACGCAUAUUGCACAUCGUACAACAGUACGAUGUACACAUUUUUGAGUGCCUAUAUUUAUCUAUUCAACUGUGCGCACACACGCACGCAGAAUGGUGUUUUGCUGCCUUCGGUGGCUGGCAAAACAUUCAAGACGCUCAGCGGCUCGGGGUUUUCGUUCGGCGGACGGCCACACUGGUGCGCACGCACGCGACUGAACGGACGACGACGACGGUGAGAAUACAUCCCACACACCAACCUGGCUUGGGCGCCGAUGUAGCAUCUCUCACGCACGUCUCGUCACACGUUCGUUCGGUCAUCCGGCGUCGUCGCGGUACCGCGUCCACAGAACAGAACAACCCAACACACGAGCAUGCGAUCGAUAGCGAUAAGAUAAACCCCCCCCCCCCCAUGUAGGCCUCAAAUAAUGUGUGACUACCCCCUAAAUUUAAGCAU
rnacentral:rRNA from 1 species